rnacentral:rRNA from 1 species
AUUGAACGCUGGCGGCAGGCUUAACACAUGCAAGUCGAACGGUAACAUAAUGAGGCUUGCUUCUUUGAUGACGCGUGGCGCACGGGUGAGUAAUGUUCGUGAAUCUCUCUUAUUGCGGGGGGUAACUCCGGGAAACUGUAACUCUUACCGCGCAGAAUCGCGAGGUGUAAGUGUAGGACCUUCUGGCCCCUUGCCCUAGUGUAUGCCCAAGUGGGAUUAGGUAGUUGGUGCGGUAAAGGCUCACCAAGCCGACGAUCUCUAGCUGGUCUGAGAGGAUGACCAGCCACACUGGGACUGAGACACGGCCCAGACUCCUACGGGAGGCAGCAGUGGGGAAUAUUGCGCAAUGGGCGCAAGCCUGACGCAGCCAUGCCGCGUGAAUGAAGAAGGCCUUCGGGUUGUAAAGUUCUUUUGGUAGGGAGGAAGGCAUUUAGUUUAAUAGACUGGGGGAUUGACGUUAACUACAGAAGAAGCACCGGCUAACUUCGUG